GUUUAUCCUGCACUUCAGUAAUUCCAGAGAUGACAGUCAAAGCUAAACAGCCAGAAAACAUUUGUACAUCUUCAUCUACACAACAUUGUCCCCACAACAUCCACACAAUAUUAUACACACAACAUCUACACAACAUUAUACACAAAAGGUUGUACAACCUUAUCCAUACAACAUUAUACAACAACAAGCACGCCAUUAACCACACAAUAUUUACACAACAUUAAACAUAAAAACGGUACACAAAGUUAUCCACACAACAUUUUCCUAACAACGUUUGCACAACAUUCACCACAUCUGCUGAUUUCCCGAAUACUGUCUAACGUUAGAGACAGGAAUCAGCAGGUGAUGGCCACCAUCUAACGUUAGAGACAGGAAUCAGCAGGUGACGGCCACCAUCUAACGUUAGAGACAGGAAUCAGCAGGUGAUGGCCACCAUCUAAUGUUAGAGACAGGAAUCAGCAGGUGAUGGCCACCAUCUAAUGUUAGAGACAGGAAUCAGCAGGUGAUGGCCACCAUCUAAUGUUAGAGACAGGAAUCAGCAGGUGAUGGCCACCAUCUAAUGUUAGAGACAGGAAUCAGCAGGUGAUGGCCACCAUCUAAUGCUAGAGACAGGAAUCAGCAGGUGAUGGCCACCAUCUAAUGUUAGAGACAGGAAUCAGCAGGUGAUGGCCACCAUCUAAUGCUAGAGACAGGAAUCAGCAGGUGAUGGCCACCAUCUAAUGUUAGAGACAGGAAUCAGCAGGUGAUGGCCACCAUCUAAUGCUAGAGACAGGAAUCAGCAGGUGAUGGCCACCAUCUAAUGUUAGAGACAGGAAUCAGCAGGUGAUGGCCACCAUCUAAUGUUAGAGACAGGAAUCAGCAGGUGAUGGCCACCAUCUAAUGCUAGAGACAGGAAUCAGCAGGUGAUGGCCACCAUCUAAUGUUAGAGACAGGAAUCAGCAGGUGAUGGCCACCAUCUAAUGCUAGAGACAGGAAUCAGCAGGUGAUGGCCACCAUCUAAUGUUAGAGACAGGAAUCAGCAGGUGAUGGCCACCAUCUAAUGUUAGAGACAGGAAUCAGCAGGUGAUGGCCACCAUCUAAUGUUAGAGACAGGAAUCAGCAGGUGAUGUUUACUGUUUAUGAAUGCUCACCAGGACAAGUCUCUUAGAGGGAUUUAUUAAGUUACACUGAGUGGAUGAGCUUCAUAUUGUUCUCUGUGUUUUAUGCACCAUUAAAUGCAUUAUCUCUAAUUGUCUUUAAUUCAAUCUAAUAGGGCAUUCAUGCAUUAUUGAGAGAGUGUUAUUAGUGAUUUAUUGUCAUUUCAUUUGUGAGUUAUACAUAUUUUCACUAAUGUGAAUUAAAGAGAUUUUCCUUUUGAAUAAGUAUUCAUUUUUAAUCAAUGAAUGAAGUAUUACUUUUUGUUAACAUAAAUAGUAGCGUAUGUGGGAGAUGAAUAUGUAAAUCAAUUGUAGUAAUUUAGAAAUACGAAUUUGCAGAAUUAGAUUUAGAAAAACAGUUACCGAUAUAUAAAAGCAGUGCAUUUGGGAGAGGAUACAUACAUGAACUAACUGAC